rnacentral:rRNA from 1 species
GACGAACGCUGGCGGCGUGCUUAACACAUGCAAGUCGAGCGGAGAUAUAUUGAAGAUUUAUCGGAUAUAUAUCUUAGCGGCGGACGGGUGAGUAACGCGUGGGCAAUCUGCCUCAUACAGGGGGAUAACACUGGGAAACUAGUGCUAAUACCGCAUAAAAUAAUGAAGUGGCAUCACUUUAUUAUCAAAGGAGCAAUCCGGUGUGAGAUGAGCCCGCGUCCGAUUAGCUAGUUGGUGGGGUAACGGCCUACCAAGGCGACGAUCGGUAGCCGAACUGAGAGGUUGAUCGGCCACAUUGGGACUGAGACACGGCCCAGACUCCUACGGGAGGCAGCAGUGGGGAAUAUUGCGCAAUGGGGGAAACCCUGACGCAGCAACGCCGCGUGAAGGAUGAAGGUUUUCGGAUUGUAAACUUCUUUGAUGAGGGACGAUAAUGACGGUACCUCAAAAACAAGACCACGGCUAACUACGUGCCAGCAGCCGCGGUAAAAGUC